UUACACCUGGUGGGUAGGCAAAGCCAACGAGAAGCAUUACUACUGGGGAGGCUCUGGGCCUGGAAUUCAGAAAUGUGCCUGCGGCAUCGAGCGCAACUGCACGGACCCCAGAUACUACUGCAACUGUGACGCGGAUUACAAGCAGUGGAGAAAGGAUGCUGGUUUCUUAUCCUACAAAGAUCACCUGCCGGUCAGCCAGGUGGUUGUUGGAGAUACCGACCGGCAAGGCUCAGAAGCCAAACUGAGUGUGGGUCCCCUGCGCUGCCAAGGAGACCGGAAUUACUGGAAUGCGGCCUCUUUCCCAAACCCAUCAUCCUACCUGCACUUCUCCACUUUCCAAGGGGAGACCAGUGCCGACAUCUCCUUCUACUUCAAAACGUUAAUCCCCCGGGGCGUGUUUCUUGAAAAUCUGGGGAACACAGAUUUCAUCAAACUCGAACUGA